AAUAUGACGAAGCUCAUAUCCUCCUGAGCACAGAUGAGAAAUAUCUAUUACUGAAACAGAGCAUUAAAAAGGAGUUCUAAUUUUAGCAGGAAUUUUUCUGAUUAGCUAUCUGUAUGGGAACUGUUGAAUCUGAACCAUUGAUUGAUCACCUGAAGUAAGGACUGAGUCAUCCCUGGGAGCCCAGGUGAAGGCAAUUCAGCUGUUUGACCGGAAGGGGUGGAACCUGGCUGCACCUCUUUUAGUCCUCAUUUAAAGGUUGAAUGCCACUGAGCAAGGGUUUCUUUCUGGAGAUCCCUUCUUUUAGAGUUCUCUGCUAUGAGCCUCAGAUACAGGUACACAGGAUGCUCACUGUUGCAUGGUGGAUGGUUGGUCUUCAAACUGUUGUGUGAUUAGGAAUGUCAAUGCAGAGGGCAGAUAUCCUGAAAACAGGAAAGAUAUCCAAGAUGACAUUUGAGAGCUCUUUUAUUUGUGGGUAUUAAGGACUGAGUCUCAGAACCAGCAGAACCUUCUUUUCUUGCUGAAUCAUUUCCAGCAAUUUAAGAAUUGGUUUUAAGUAGCACCACCUAUUAACAAAGGAGCAUAUAUAACGCACUUAGUGGAAAAGCUCCCAGUGGGUUCUUGGACAAGUUCUGUGUUUAAUUUUUGUCCUGAUGUUAAGUCUCUGAAAACUCUGAAAUCAGUUUGCUGAACCUAAGCAGAUGGCAGCAGAGGGGUGGUCUGACAAAAUGGCAUCUGACACAGAAGUGCGUGUGAAGGAGCAAAACUACAAGAGAAGCUUAUUUAAUUCUAUCUGCGAUUCUCUGAAACCAGUAUGAAGCUAUGAUUCAAGUUAAUGUUGUUAACAUCGCCUCUAUCUGAUUUGAGAAGAAACCAUGUCUGUCAAUAUUUGAAUGUGACGGGGAUGAACAGGAGGAAGAAGUGAAGUCUAAUCUCAGCAGAUGGUUGUCAAAACUGCACAGAGUGACUGAGAAUGUAGAAAGAAAUAAUAAGAGAGUUUCCCCCAUUUUGUUUUUAUGUCAUGAAUAGUGAAUAAAUCAUACAUUAUAGGCAAAUCAAAAGUAGUGAAAACUAGGUGAAGAUGAAAAGAACUAAAACAAUGUUGCUGAAAAGUAUUUUGCUGAUAAAUGUAUGUGAUUAUUCGCAGACCUUAAAUGAAUGUUGAUAUAACGGAAAACAAAAAUGGACAUAUGUAUUGUGUUUAUGCAUUGAUAAUCUCAUCUUGGAGAUAUUACAAGAAUGAUUCAUGUUGACAAGAAAAGAAGAAUGUCUUUCAAGCUGUUACUUAGUUACUGACAAAUCAAGUAUGUCAAUUGGACGCAAAGAUGGGCAAAGCAAACUUGUAAGAUAGAUAGGCUGCUGCAAGUUUUACAUCUGGUCAUAGCUGGAAAUCUAAAUGUUAACCCAAACUUUUCUCUCCAUUUAAAGACUUCUUAUUCAUUGAGGUAUGCUCUGUGUCUUGACUUGUGCUGGAAAGUCAUGGGUUAGAACUAUUUUUUUUUAUUUGAAAAAGCUAGUAGGUAUAGACCUGUGCUAUUUAUUUCCUGUUUAGUUGGAAUGCACACAAUAGAAAUAGACACUUGAACUAACGAAACAGGUUAUGUCUACCAGCCUUUUUGAAUAGUGUUUCAUUGCUUUACAAUAUUUUCUGUGUAAAUGUGCAUAUAUUGUAUUUUGAUGCUCAUACGUGCAAAAGUCAUUCCUUACUGGAUUUUUUUAUAAACAGGCUAGGACUAUGGAAGUGACUUAGUGUCACUACAGAAUGUGUUUGUGGUUAUAGGGUGACUUAACCUCUCACUUGAGCAAAAUUUAUCUGGUUCAUAGAAUGCAGGGACUACAAUAUGAAUUUCAAGUUAAGUGGGUGCCUUUGAAUGGUGUUAAAUCAAGGAUCUUCACUGACUCAUUAAGAAAUACACUUUACAUUAAUCAUUGUUGUAUUAUGUUUAGUAUAUGUAAAAUAAAUAAAAUGUAAUUCUACAGUACUUAUAAUAAUAACAAGGUUAAAAUUACUUAAAAAACAAAUGAAACUGACUUUCUUCCCAGGUCAUUUGUGUCUGAUUUUUUGCUCUGAAGUGUAUGGUUGUUUUUUUUUUGCUUGUUUGUUUGGUUGGUUUUUUGUUUUUUUUUCAUUCCUUUUGCCAUUCUGAAAGAAGUGUAUUUGAUCUUGUCUGUUCCCAACAAUUUACAAUUACAAUUGCCUCUUAUUCAAAAAGUAAAGAAGCUGCAAUUUUUAUAUAUAAGCUUUCUUGUUCAAAAGUCAAAGGUUAAUUUGAAUACUGAAAAUCUGUAUACAGCCUUGACAGCUUAACAGGUAUUUUGAGUGCUUGUAAACUAAUUUAUACUAGAAAGAAUAAAAAUUACAAGGGUUACUAAUCUUCAUGCUGAAAUCAUUAAGAUAAUUACCACCAACUGUUUUAUUAUCCAACUCUAUCAGGGGAAAUGUAGUUGCAUCCUGCAGCAAUGAAUGAAAACAGAGUAGGUAUGUACCAGUCUACAGUGGAAAUGACAUAUUGAAAAACAGGUACCUGUGCAUAUGUCUUGUACAGGUACAUAAGUUUCCUAUUGGUAAACUUAAAAGGUGUGUCUAUUAAGUGGAAUGCUGUCUCUGAAAGAAGAUCUAUUAUUUCUUAAAACACUGCCAUGUCAAGUCUCCUUUUCUGGUACUUUCCACCCAUUGCAGUACUGCUGCAU